rnacentral:rRNA from 1 species
AUUGAACGCUAGCGGGAUGCUUUACACAUGCAAGUCGAACGGCAGCGCGGACCUCGGUCUGGCGGCGAGUGGCGAACGGGUGAGUAAUAUAUCGGAACGUGCCCAGUAGCGGGGGGAUAACUACGCGAAAGCGUGGCUAAUACCGCAUACGCCCUACGGGGGAAAGGGGGGGAGUUCUUCGGAACCUCUCACUAUUGGAG